GCCUGGGUGGCUCAGUCGGUUGAGCACCUGACUUUGGCUCAGGUCAUGAUCUUGCGGUCUAUGAGUUUAAGCCCCGCGUCAGGCU
rnacentral:tRNA from 1 species